rnacentral:rRNA from 1 species
UACAGAGGGUGCAAGCGUUAAUCGGAAUUACUGGGCGUAAAGCGUGCGUAGACGGUAGCGUAAGUCGGGUGUGAAAGCCCCGGGCUCAACCUGGGAAUUGCAUUCGAGACUGCUCUGCUAGGGUGCGGAAGAGGGAAGCGGAAUUUCCGGUGUAGCGGUGAAAUGCGCAGAUAUCGGAAGGAACACCAGUGGCGAAAGCGGCUUCCUGGUCCAGCACCGACGUUCAGGCACGAAAGCGUGGGGAGCAAACAGG